rnacentral:rRNA from 1 species
AUGAAAGUAAAGCUUUCCUUGUUUAAUAGGACAAAGUUUAUUGUUGGUGACGGAGCCAUUACGAGAUUCUGGGAGGAUACUUGGCUCGGAGAGGUACCCCUACCCAUCCAAUACCCGUCGUUGUAUCGUAUUGUUCAACGACGUGAGGUUUUUGUUGCAACAGUAUUUCAAUCAAUUCCCCUUAAUAUUCAGUUCAGAAGGGCGUUAGUGGGCAAUCGUUGGGAAGAAUGGUUGCAUCUAGUAAGGAGACUGAUGGACGUUCAGCUUUCCCAACAACCCGAUGAAUUACGCUGGAAGCUUACUAGGUCGGGAGACUUUACAGUUAAAUCAAUGUAUGUUGAUGUGAUCAAUUCAAGCUCGAUUCCUAGUUCCAAACAUGUGUGGGCUGUCAAAGUUCCUUUGAAAAUUAAAGUUUUUAUGUGGUUUCUCCACAAACAAGUUAUUUUAACCAAGGACAACUUGACAAAGCGUAAUUGGACAGGACCUACUAGGUGUAGUUUCUGUGAUCGGGAGGAAACGAUUAAACACCUUUUUCUUGAUUGCCCACUAGCUAAAGUGUUAUGGAGGACAGUCCAUAUUGCUUUCAAUAUUUCUCCAUUGAGUAGAGCCCGAGUUAGCGCGACAUAUUCGUGUAGGAGUCUGCGCCUUGGUGUGGGCGCUCUGGAAUUGCAGGAAUGA